ACCUGUGUCAUCCCUCAGCACCCCCCCAUUCUCUCAGGUCCCCCCACCUUGUCCCCCCUCCGUUCCCUCCUCUCAGGUCCCCUCCUCAGGUGCCUCUGCCUGUGUCAUCCCUCAGGUCCGCCCCCCAGGUUCUCCCUCUCAGGUCCCCCCCUCAGGUGCCUCUGCCUGUGUCAUCCCUCAGCACCCCCCCAUUCUCUCAGGUCCCCCCGCCUUGUCCCCCAUCCGUUCCCUCCUCUCAGGUCCCCUCCUCAGGUCCCUCUGCCUGUGUUAUCCCUCGGUCCCCCCCAGUUUCAGGUCCCUCCCCUCCGGUCCCCCCACCAUGUCCUCUCUCAGGUCUUCUUCAGGUCCUCCCUCCGUUCCCUCCUCUCAGGUCCCCCCCCCCAGGUUCCUCUACCUGUGUCAUCCCUCAGGUCCCUCCACCCAUGUAUCCCUUCAAGUCCUCUCUCAGGCCCCCCACCCAUCUCGCCCCUCUGACUUCCCUUGAUCCCAGAUCUCCCCACCCACUCUGUCAGGGACCCCCUUUCCCCCCAAAGGGUUCUAGAGACCUGAGCGAGCCGUGUAGUGACUGUUCCGGCUGCAUCUUGAGGUCUGUCGGGGAGCUGGACACGAGGCAGAUUUGUGUUCGAUUUGCAAGCUGGGUGCAGAGGACAAAGCGUGUCUUGUGAUGUGAGUCAGUGAUGGACUCCGGGUGCCGCUGUUGCGCGGCCUGUGGCUUGGACGGCAAGUGGGCGAGGCUCGCAGGGAGUGGAAGGGGCCUGUUGGAGACAGAGUCCAGGAGAUGAGGGCCCAGGAAAGGAGUCGUGAGCUUGCUCUCCUGGGACCCGUGUCGGGUCUUGCCCUGCCACCGUCUGCCAGGGUGUAGACGGCGGCUCGCACGGGGAGUGGUUCUGGUGCUGAGUGGGUGGAGGCCAGGGGUGCUGCUCGGCACCCACGCGCCCCUGCCACCCUGGCUUGGUGAGUCCAGAGUUCUGGCUUUGAGGCCGCUUCUUGCUCCUCCACAGCUGCUGUGUGCUGGGCAGCGCCUGGGUCGACAUCUCCCUCCCGGGUCGGUCUCUGAUGGGCAGAUGUGCCAGUGGCAGCGCGGGGGUGAGCUGCUUCCCCGGUGUCUGGAGGCCCUGAGCGGGUCUGGGCUGAGGUCUGUGGAGCUUGGUCUCCCGCCAGUGUCCCAGCAGCCCUGUCAGGACAGUUUCACGCUUCCGUCACCUGAAUCAUCCAAAAUGACAUCUGAGGCCCCGGGAUUUUGCGCGGCUCCGAGCUGGGUCAGCUGGUGCACCUACCUGCCUGCCUGGCCCUGCCACUAGGUGGGGACACAGGCCCAUGCAGCCGCUGUCGCUGUCCCAUAUCCACAGGCCAGGCCCACCUUUCCCGUUCUGUCUCGGGACCCUUUGGUUCUGAACCUUUUCAAGCUCCUGUUAUGAGAUGACAGCAGGGUAUUUACUGUGUUAGGAACAAAAAUGGAGACGCUGUUACGCUUAAUACUUUUUACGGAAAACCGGCGAUAAUAAAUCCGCUGCAGGUAGACGUGGCA
rnacentral:lncRNA from 1 species